rnacentral:rRNA from 1 species
GUCUAUGGCCAUGCCACCCUGAACAAGCCCAGUCCCAUCUGCUCUCAGAAGCUAAGCAGGGUUGGGCCUGGUUUGUACUUGGAUGGGAGACCACCUAGGAAGAGCAGGUGCUGCAGGCG